UCUGCAUCGGGUAAAUCACCCUCGAGAUGGAGUCCCUGACAUUUAUCUUGAUGAUCUUAAUCAGCUCGUAGUCCGAAAAUGGAUUCACCAAUCUCGACUUCAACAACAGCAUCUCCUGGAUGUACUGGUCUGUCGACUCCCCGUGUCGCUGCCGUCGUUCUCUGAGCUCCUGCUCCCGCUCGAACUCCGUCUUCCGCACCUGAAACUGUUGCUGGAGUCCAUAUCUCAGACUAGGCCAGUCCGGCACUCCUGCGGUCCGUACAUACAUCCAGUACCAGUCUCUAGCAGGGCCGUAACCAGAGUGUGAAAAGCUUUCAAUACUUCAGCCCAUGCUUAUCUUAUCUUUUGUACGGGUCUGGCCACUGAUUUUAUUCUUUUACUUUUUCUUUAGGUUCCCGACCGAUCUCUCGUACUUCUUCCCGGAAACUGACCCUCUCAAUAUAACCUUGACGGCCACGUUUCCUUCUCUUCUCCUUGCCACCUUGCAACCCUUUUUCAGCCUCCCCGGAUCCACAGCAGAGGCCGCUGUCUGAUCUUCUUCUCCAGCCCUGUCGGUUAUCGGCUACUUCAGAAAGCCGUCCAUAACAAGCCUAGUACU
rnacentral:lncRNA from 1 species